UAAUUUUGUGUUAAAUGAUGUGCCAUAUGCACAUUAAAAGAAAAGAUCCAUAAGUGGAAAUGAAAUAUGAAUAAGAGUUGGAACUUUGAAAUACAGGAAUUCACAUCACCACACACACGCGUGAACAAAUCUACAAUGUCAGGUACAGUUGGCUAGCAGUGCAACUUCGAGACAAGGCCAUCGUGAAAAUAGAAAAAUAGAAAAUUCAGUUGUGACUCAGUCUAGGAGUGGACCUCCAUAUAUAUCUGUGUCACAUGAUUCAAAGAAAUGAAAAGUAAACGUGUAGAUUAAAAGACGUAGGAGACAAACACUGGAGGAGAACGACACUGAGUGGACAUUAAUGGAGGUGAGAUACUGGAUAAUUGAUGAUGGAGAACGAGAGGGCUGAUGGACACGCUGAUGACAUGGCUGUGAAGGUGUGUUUGGUCCCAGGCUCCAGCUACAGGAGCACAUCAUCUGUGGUGUAAAUGCAGGCUCUCAUGAUGCUCCCCUUAGCAUGAAGGAGUCCCACUUGAUGGAUUCUUCUGUGUUUUCCUCACCUGAACCUCAUUCCUGUCUCACAGACUCACACGUCUUCCUCUCAUUUUGCAGGUUUCUCCCAGCGGUCUCUGGCUGGUUGGUGGCUUUCAUCGUCUUGUUGGUUCUUUGCUUAGUGGUGACUCCCUGCUGGUCAUUCAAUGGAGAAGAAUGAGAGAAACAAACACCAGAUAUGAUUCAAUAGUUAGCGGCUGUAGGAGUCCACAUUGGAAAUCCACUGACAAUGGAAGGACAUGCAGACUGUCCACUGGAGACAUCAUACCAGGAGCUGACCUGGAGUUUGAGUGCUGUGGGCUGACAAACCUAACGUCACGUGUGCGCUGAGUGCCAAAUGGCUCCUCCAUUACACAUUUAGUCCUCUCUCUAGUCGUGAGUCAGCACAGGGCUGUAGAUAUGAGACACUCUGAUCAAGGACUGGUCUGAUGAGCUCGACUUGUGCUGAUUUACCUCUUUCUACUUGGCCACUGCUCAUCUGUCUCCUGGGAUGGUGAGGUGGCUUCUCAGGGGUCUUCAGAGUCCAUGAAUAUCUGAGCAGUUCAAUUAGUGAAGGCCUUGGUGUGACUGAAUAAACGUGAACUGGUCAGGAAAUUCAAAAUGGGAGAUCAGGCCGGCCAGCCUGAAUGUGAAGAGGAGACGAUUUGAAAAUGGUCAGCAUUGAGCCAAUGUGGCCCACCACGUUCAGUGAAGUCUUCUGUGUCUCCUUUGUGUUGGUACUUCAUGUGUG